rnacentral:lncRNA from 1 species
CUAAAAUAGCUCAGAUAUGAGAAUAAAGAGCUGCCUGUAGCUCACAGCCAGGACUGGCUGAGUGCUGCAGGGGCUGGAGCGGGAGCAAGGAGAGCAGGAACGUGUGGUCAGUGGGGAGCAGGGAAUCACCACGCACCAAAACAUGUUUGCAGGCUCUCUUUUGAGAUUGUCAAGAGUUUCUCUCUUAGCAGCCCAGGCAUGUCUAUUGAUUUGCAUGCUGUGGUUUCUGCUCGACAGAUAUGCCGUAGAUUUCGGAAUACUUGCAGCUUAAAAAGAAAAUUCAGCAGCCAAGGAGAGCAAUUCAAGGACUGAUCUCACUUUACUCUUCUCAGGCACAGCUACUACUGCAAGGGGAAGAAAGAGAAAUAAUGAUAUUUCCUCUCAACAGAGAGGAAAUUAUUCAAAAAAACUUUGUGGUGUAUGAGGAUAUAAGAGAGAGGAAAAAUUACUGGUGAAUGAACUGGACCAAAUCCUGAUGCUCUCUGAAUCGGUGUGGAGCCAACGGGCAGGGUUUGGCCCUUGAUGAUUAUAACUCCCUUUUCCUGGCAAUUUACUGAAGCUUUCAGUGAAAUUAUUUCUCAGGAAUAAAGCUGUGUGUGUCAGUGUAAACACUGUGAUCAGUUAAAUGCUAACUAGCACGGGUUUGUGAAGUCUCAUUCGUUAAUCUUUCAGACUGUGUAAGAGAAGACGCUUUUGAAGUGCAAAGUAUUAUCAUUAUCAUGAUACGUUCAUAAAACAGCUUCUGUGCCUCAUUCAGGUGGAAGAACGCUGGAAGUGCCAGAUCUGUGCCAGCUCCCAGCUCUCUGCUGCCUUCCCCAUACUCUCCUCACCUGGAAGGGGUGACAAGCUUCCUGAUGUGCAGCAACUUGAAAUUCCCUCUUGGAUUUCCUGCCUUCCCUGCUGGAACUGCUCUGACACCUGCGUCCUUGCAGGCUGCUCGUAGAUUAUUUCCAUCUUUUGAGGGAUGUCCAGCUCAGGGUUGUCAGGGGUGGUUUCUGAGAGUCCUUGGAGAGGUUAUUGAUGAUUUCCUGACUCCUGAAGGAGCAAAGCCAGGACACUGCUCUUGAAAGGGCAGCUCUGUACCCUGGCAGCAGAGUGGAUGGUGACAGACACCAAAAAUUCCCUUCCCAGGUCAGACCCAACCUUAAAUAAAGUGGAG